AUAUGUUUUACAAUAUUUGUAUGUCACGGACCAAUCAGAUGUGAGGUUAAAGGUUAUGGGGUUAGGAGGGAGUAGAGAAGAUGGAAGAGAGUGGACGGUUAGUCCAAUGACAUUAGUUGACAGGAGAUAAUUCACUGUUAUUAGCUCCAUCUCUAGGCUAUUAGAGUGGAGGGUCACUGAUAUAAGUUGUCUGAUAGAUAACUUAGUAGUGAAUAACAGUCUGUAUCUACUAGUUUAGUGAGUAGAAAAUCGAGUCUAGUAGUACAGGCAAGCGCGGGAGCCAUUUUAGCUAGCUGACCUGCAUGAGCCUGCCUAGGCACAAUUGCAUGUUAAACAGUAGUUCACUGUGUAAAUGCUUGGACUUUGCCAAACUGAUUCGAUUGGACACCGGAGAGUUCGCUGUUCACUUGGAUAAGGUAGACAGAAGAAUUAGCUCGACAGAACAGCCAAGAGCUCACCAGUGUGUGCCAGGAGCAACGUGGCUGCUCGCUUCUACUAUGAUACCAACAACUCGAUGGAACUCCGCCACCAUUCCACUGCAACAGGAACUGAAGACCCAGGUGCUUGUGCAGACGUGCUGGGCGAGUCCUGCUCGGCAGCGUGUUUGUGUUUGUGUACCAAGGAGUCUCUGAGAGAUUACCUCACACUGCCAUCUGCGCCUUGAAGAAUGCCAUCUCAGUCUACAGCUGAGAGAAGAGAAAACUGCUUUCUCACUUAUAAAAGGACAGACAGACAGACAGACAGACAGACAGACAGACAGACAGACAGACAGACAGACAGACAGACAGACAGACAGACAGACAGACAAAAGCAUAUGUUUAUACACCAAUAUGCAUGCAAAACACACAUGCACUCAUGUUGGACACAAGGGCAACUUGAUAUUCAUCAAUCAAAUAUACU
rnacentral:lncRNA from 1 species